UUAUAUGUACAUUCUGCUGUUUGACUUGUCAUCUACGUGGUUUCAGUACUUUGGUGGAACAAACUUUGGUCGGACUUCCGGCGGACCGUUCUAUAUUACUAGUUAUGAUUAUGAUGCUCCAAUUGAUGAAUAUGGCUUACUGAGUGAGCCUAAAUGGUCCCAAAAGAUGUGAGAGCUCCAUUGCGACACUAUCUUUUGGAACAUUUUGACAUCAACUUGAAUGAUGAGACAACUAAAAAAUGCAUUGAUGAGCAAAUGAGAAAAGCUUGGAAGGGUCAUAAGUACAAGUUGCACUUAUAUUUCAAAGAAAUUGGAGGAGAAAAUGAUCUUGAGAUGGCCAAGAGCAAACGUCAUCCAGACUUAAAAUAAGAUCAUCAAGAAGAUUGGAUGAUUUUGUGUGAUCGUUGGUGUUCUCCUAAGGAAUGAACUUUACAUUAAUUUACUAAGGAAUGAACUUUAUGAAGUUUUUUUUUUUAUUUUGGUAGGGGUAACCUUAAAAUGAUAACUUUAUGACUUAUUUUAGUAUUGAACAUUAUAAAUAAUUUUAGUAUUAAACAUUUUAUUAUUGUAUGGU